rnacentral:rRNA from 1 species
UGAGUAAAGUGGCGUACGGGUGAGUAACACGUGGAUUAUCUACCUCUUAGUGGGGAAUAACUCUGGGAAACCGGAGCUAAUACCGCAUAAGCCUGGAAAGGGAAAGUCGCAAGACGCUGAGAGAGGAGUCCGCGGCCGAUUAGCUAGUUGGCAGGGUAAAAGCCUACCAAGGCUAUGAUCGGUAGCCGGCCUGAGAGGGCACACGGCCACACUGGCACUGAAACACGGGCCAG